GAUGAAGAACGCAGCGAAAUGCGAUACGUAAUGUGAAUUGCAGAAUUCCGUGAAUCAUCGAGUCUUUGAACGCACAUUGCGCCCCCUGGUAUUCCGGGGGGCAUGCCUGUCCGAGCGUCAUUGCUGCCCUCAAGCCCGGCUUGUGUGUUGGGUCUCGUCCCCCUUCCCGGGGGGACGGGCCCGAAAGGCAGCGGCGGCACCGCGUCCGGUCCUCGAGCGUAUGGGGCUUUGUCACCCGCUCUGUAGGCCCGGCCGGCGCUUGCCGAUCAACCAAAACUUUUUUCCAGGUUGACCUCGGAUCAGGUAGGGAUACCCGCUGAACUUAAGCAUAUCAAUAAGCGGAGGA
rnacentral:misc_RNA from 1 species